UGCGUAGGCGGGCUAAUAAGUCAGUGGUGAAAUCUUCCGGCUCAACCGGGAACCUGCCAUUGAUACUGUUAGUCUUGAGUACGGCUGAGGUAGGCGGAAUGUGUAAUGUAGCGGUGAAAUGCUUAGAUAUUACACAGAACACCAAUUGCGUAGGCAGCUUACUAGACCGUAACUGACGCUGAGGCGCGAAAGCGUGGGUAGCGAACAGGAUUAGAUACCCUGGUAGUCC
rnacentral:rRNA from 1 species